rnacentral:rRNA from 1 species
UACGGGGGGAGCAAGCGUUGUUCGGAUUUUACUGGGCGUAAAGGGCGCGUAGGCGGCCACCGCAAGUCGACUGUGAAAUCUCCGGGCUUAACCCGGAAAGGUCAGCCGAUACUGCGGGGCUAGAGUGCAGAAGGGGCAACUGGAAUUCUCGGUGUAGCGGUGAAAUGCGUAGAUAUCGAGAGGGACACCUGCGGCGAAGGCGGGUUGCUGGGCUGACACUGACGCUGAGGCGCGAAAGCUAGGGGAGCGAACGGG